rnacentral:rRNA from 1 species
GGCGAUGACAAAGACAUAGUCAUUUUGAAAAUUGUGGUCCGUGAUCAUGAAUUGUAAUAUUCAAAAUGCAUUGCUAACAAAAUUGCAUAUGUUAGUUUAUUGGAAAGAACAUUACAAAGGGUGAAAAUCCCAUGUGUCAUGUGUAUGUUUUGUGUACAGUGUGCAUUUCAUGAUUCACAUUCAUUGACAAUUGAAUGUAAAGCGAAUGGUAAACUUCAUUUAAACAUAAAUAUGUUGUUGAAAACUUAUAUCGAACAAAUACCAUGAGGGAAAUGUGAAAAGGAUUUUGAAAAGAAAAUUAAAAGAGCUUACAAUUGCUGGAUUGAUAAGCAAACAAAACACACAUGUGUAUGUGCAAGAUUGUUGUCAUGUUGUGCAAUUCAUGCAAAUUAACAUUGCUUUGGUUUUUGUGUAAUUUUGUCAGCUUUGGAAUUGAGAAUGAUUUUUUUGAGUGUGAAUGGAUUGUUGUUUGUUAACAAAGGAAUGCACUUUCAAAAUCAUUGUUUGAUUUGUCAAUCAAGUUUGUGGCGUGUGUUGUGUGUCAAAUUUAAUUAUAUAAUUCACAAAACACAUGAAGUUUGAGCUAUUAAGGCAAUUCUUGGUUUUGUUUGACCCGUUUG